GACGAACGCUGGCGGCGUGCUUAACACAUGCAAGUCGAACGGUGAUGCUCCAGCUUGCUGGAGUGGAUCAGUGGCGAACGGGUGAGUGACACGUGAGCAACCUGCCCCAGACUCUGGAAUAAGCGCUGGAAACGGCGUCUAAUACUGGAUACGAAACUGGCCCGCAUGGGCAUGGUUUGGAAAGUUUUUCGGUUUGGGAUGGGCUCGCGGCCUAUCAGCUUGUUGGUGAGGUAAUGGCUCACCAAGGCGACGACGGGUAGCCGGCCUGAGAGGGCGACCGGCCACACUGGGACUGAGACACGGCCCAGACUCCUACGGGAGGCAGCAGUGGGGAAUAUUGCACAAUGGGCGAAAGCCUGAUGCAGCGACGCCGCGUGAGGGAUGACGGCCUUCGGGUUGUAAACCUCUUUCAGCAGGGAAGAAGCGAAAGUGACGGUACCUGCAGAAGAAGCACCGGCUAACUACGU
rnacentral:rRNA from 1 species